UACGAAGGGGGCUAGCGUUGUUCGGAAUUACUGGGCGUAAAGCGCACGUAGGCGGAUAUUUAAGUCAGGGGUGAAAUCCCAGAGCUCAACUCUGGAACUGCCUUUGAUACUGGGUAUCUGGAGUAUGGAAGAGGUGAGUGGAAUUCCGAGUGUAGAGGUGAAAUUCAUAGAUAUUCGGAGGAACACCAGUGGCGAAGGCGGCUCACUGGUCCAUUACUGACGCUGAGGUGCGAAAGCGUGGGGAGCAAACAGG
rnacentral:rRNA from 1 species